CCUACGGGUGACAGCAGUGAGGAAUAUUGGUCAAUGGGCGCGAGCCUGAACCAGCCAAGUCGCGUGAGGGAAGACGGUCCUAUGGAUUGUAAACCUCUUUUGUCGGGGAGCAAAAGACGCCACGUGUGGCGUUCCGAGAGUACCUGAAGAAAAAGCAUCGGCUAACUCCGUUCCAGCACCCGUGGUAAUACGGAGGAGGCGAGCGUUAUCAGGAUUUAUUGGGUUAAACGGGAGCGCAGGCGGAAGAUCAAGUCAGCGGUAAAAUUGAGGGGCUCAACCUCUUCGAGCCGUUGAAACUGGUUUUCUUGAGUGAGCGAGAAGUAUGCAGAAUGCGUUGUGUAGCGGUGAAAUGCAUAGAGAUCACGCAGAACUCCGAUUGUGAAGGCAGCAUACCGGCGCUCAACUGACGCUCAUGUACGAAAGUGUGGGUAUCGAACAGGAUUAGAUACCCUAGUAGUC
rnacentral:rRNA from 1 species